AUUGAACGCUGGCGGCAGGCUUAACACAUGCAAGUCGAGCGGGGUGAUGGUGCUUGCACUAUCACUUAGCGGCGGACGGGUGAGUAAUGCUUAGGAAUCUGCCUAUUAGUGGGGGACAACAUCUCGAAAGGGAUGCUAAUACCGCAUACGUCCUACGGGAGAAAGCAGGGGAUCACUUGUGACCUUGCGCUAAUAGAUGAGCCUAAGUCGGAUUAGCUAGUUGGUGGGGUAAAGGCCUACCAAGGCGACGAUCUGUAGCGGGUCUGAGAGGAUGAUCCGACACACUGGGACUGAGACACGGCCCAGACUCCUACGGGAGGUAGCAGUGGGGAAUAUUGGACAAUGGGGGGAACCCUGAUCCAGCCACGCCGCGUGUGUGAAGAAGGCCUUAUGGUUGUAAAGCACUUUAAGCGAGGAGGAGGCUCUUUUGGUUAAUACCCAAGAUGAGUGGACGUUACUCGCAGAAUAAGCACCGGCUAACUCUGUGCCAGCAGCCGCAGUAA
rnacentral:rRNA from 1 species